rnacentral:rRNA from 1 species
CCAGACUCCUACGGGAGGCAGCAGUGGGGAAUAUUGGGCAAUGGGCGCAAGCCUGACCCAGCGACGCCGCGUGAGGGAAGACGGUCUUCGGAUUGUAAACCUCUUUCAGCAGGGAAGACAAAAGGACGGUACCUGCAGAAGAAGCCACGGCUAACUACGUGCCAGCAGCCGCGGUAAUACGUAGGUGGCAAGCGUUAUCCGGAAUUACUGGGUGUAAAGGGAGCGUAGACGGCAGCACAAGUCUGGAGUGAAAUGCCGGGGCUUAACCCCGGUCCGCCGUUGAAACUGGCAGUCUCGAGUUGGAGAGAAGUAUGCGGAAUGCGCGGUGUAGCGGUGAAAUGCAUAGAUAUCGCGCAGAACUCCGAUUGCGAAGGCAGCAUGCCGGCUCCACACUGACGCUGAGGCACGAAAGCGUGGGUAUCGAACAGGAUUAGAUACCCCCGUACAC